GCCAUACCGCGUGGGUGAAGAAGGCCUUCGGGUUGUAAAGCCCUUUUGUUGGGAAAGAAAAGCAGUCGGCUAAUACCCGGUUGUUCUGACGGUACCCAAAGAAUAAGCACCGGCUAACUUCGUGCCAGCAGCCGCGGUAAUACGAAGGGUGCAAGCGUUACUCGGAAUUACUGGGCGUAAAGCGUGCGUAGGUGGUUGUUUAAGUCUGUUGUGAAAGCCCUGGGCUCAACCUGGGAAUUGCAGUGGAUACUGGGCGACUAGAGUGUGGUAGAGGGUAGUGGAAUUCCCGGUGUAGCAGUGAAAUGCGUAAAGAUCGGGAGGAACAUCCAUGGCGAAGGCAGCUACCUGGACCAACACUGACACUGAGGCACGAAAGCGUGGGGAGCAAACAGGAUUAGAUACCCUGGUAGUCCACGCCCUAAACGAUGCGAACUGGAUGUUGGGUGCAAUUUGGCACGCACUAUCGAAGCUAACGCGUUAAGUUCGCCGCCUGGGGAGUACGGUCGCAAGACUGAAACUCAAAGGAAUUGACGGGGGCCCGCACAAGCGGUGGAGUAUGUGGUUUAAUUCGAUGCAACGCGAAGAACCUUACCUGGUCUUGACAUGUCGAGAACUUUCCGGAGAUGGAUUG
rnacentral:rRNA from 1 species